GACAACUUACUUGAAGGAUCUUAUUCAAUCCAUAGGUAGGUAUGGUGGACUCUCAUGGCAAAACUGGGUUGGAGGUUUAUGGAUGCACAAGUAGUAUCUCUACUUGGUGCGGGAGUUUUGGCUAAUAUGAGGUGGAAGCAAUCGUCACAUGCUAAGGGAUCUCUAAUCAUAUAACAUUGUUUGGAACCAAGCAAACACAAUUUAUUAUGUUGUCUUUCUUGUCCAACAUCUACUCGUAAGCAUGUAAUAGUUUGGUGAGUGCUCACAAUUGUAAAAAGUGUCUAAGAUGAUAUAUUUAUAUGUGAACCUCUCUUUCCUUAUUACUUCUUAUUAAUUGCAACA
rnacentral:lncRNA from 1 species